GAUGAACGCUGGCGGCGUGCCUAAUACAUGCAAGUCGAGCGAACGGACGAGAAGCUUGCUUCUCUGAUGUUAGCGGCGGACGGGUGAGUAACACGUGGAUAACCUACCUAUAAGACUGGGAUAACUUCGGGAAACCGGAGCUAAUACCGGAUAAUAUUUUGAACCGCAUGGUUCAAAAGUGAAAGACGGUCUUGCUGUCACUUAUAGAUGGAUCCGCGCUGCAUUAGCUAGUUGGUAAGGUAACGGCUUACCAAGGCAACGAUGCAUAGCCGACCUGUGAGGGUGAGCGGCCACACUGGAACUGAGACACGGUCCAGACUCCUACGGGAGGCAGCAGUAGGGAAUCUUCCGCAAUGGGCGAAAGCCUGACGGAGCAACGCCGCGUGAGUGAUGAAGGUCUUCGGAUCGUAAAACUCUGUUAUUAGGGAAGAACAUAUGUGUAAGUAACUGUGCACAUCUUGACGGUACCUAAUCAGAAAGCCACGGCUAACUACGUG
rnacentral:rRNA from 1 species